AGAUUUUAAUGGCGGGUACCAAGAGGGUGGAACACUGACGGCAACUAGUGAUUCAAGUUGUUCCCAAAACAUAAGGACGAACAAAGAAGGUUCGUCGAUACCACAUUAAAUCGACGAUCUAACUAAAGCCUGGUAACCUUACCUUGAAUUGAGCUCAGUUCAACGUCGCGUACCUGCAUAC
rnacentral:sRNA from 1 species